CUUUACUGCAGCUUUGCAUUGGACUUUGAACCGGUUUGUGUAGGAUAGGUGGGAGACUGUGAAACCGGAACGCUAGUUUCGGUGGAGUCGUCCUUGAAAUACCACCCUGAUUUGUUUGAGGUUCUAACCUAGGCCAGUGAAUCCUGGCCGGGGACCGUGCAUGGUAGGCAGUUUGACUGGGGCGGUCUCCUCCCAAAAGGUAACGGAGGAGUACGAAGGUACGCUUAGGGCGGUCGGACAUCGCCCAUAAAGUGCAAUGGCAAAAGCGUGCUUGACUGCGAGACCCACAAGUCGAGCAGGUGCGAAAGCAGGUCAUAGUGAUCCGGUGGUUCUGUAUGGAAGGGCCAUCGCUCAACGGAUAAAAGGUA
rnacentral:rRNA from 1 species